CGCGUAGGUGGUUUGGUAAGCGAGAUGUGAAAGCCCCGGGCUUAACCUGGGAACGGCAUUUCGAACUGUCAGGCUAGAGUAUGGUAGAGGAGUGUGGGAUUUCCUGUGUAGCGGUGAAAUGCGUAGAUAUAGGAAGGAACACCAGUGGCGAAGGCGGCACUCUGGACCAAUACUGACACUGAGGUGCGAAAGCGUGGGGAGCAAACA
rnacentral:rRNA from 1 species